AUGCAAGUCGCACGGAGAAACAAAGGUAUUUAUAUUUUUGUUUUUCAGUGGCGCACGGGUGAGUAACACGUGAAUUACAUGCCCUUGAGAGGGGGAUAGCCCGGGGAAACCCGGAUUAAUACCCCAUAGUAUCGCAAGAUUAAAGGUGGCCAGCAAUGGCUGUCGCUCAAGGAUUGGUUCGCGCCCUAUCAGCUUGUUGAUGAGGUAACGGCUCACCAAGGCUACGACGGGUACCUGGUCUGAGAGGACGAUCAGGCACACUGGAACUGAGACACGGUCCAGACACCUACGGGUGGCAGCAGUCGAGAAUAAUUCACAAUGGACGCAAGUCUGAUGGUGCAACGCCGCGUGGAGGAUGACGGUCUUAGGAUUGUAAACUCCUGUCAUCUGGGAGAAAGACCUGACGAUUAAUAGUCGGCAGGGUUGAUAGUACCAGAAGAGGAAGGGACGGCUAACUUCGUGCCAGCAGCCGCGGUAAUACGAAGGUCCCGAGCGUUAUUCGGAAUCACUGGGCGUAAAGGGAGCGUAGGCGGCGCGGUAAGUCGGAUGUGAAAUCCCGGGGCUCAACCCCGGAACUGCAUCUGAUACUGCCGUGCUAGAGUAAUGGAGGGGUAGCUGGAAUUCUCGGUGUAGCAGUGAAAUGCGUAGAUAUCGAGAGGAACACUCGUGGCGAAAGCGAGCUACUGGACAUUUACUGACGCUGAGGCUCGAAGGCUAGGGGAGCGAAAGGGAUUAGAUACCCCUGUAGUCCUAGCAGUAAACGGUGCACGCUUGGUGUGAGGGGAUUCGACCCCCCUUGUGCCGGAGCUAACGCGUUAAGCGUGCCGCCUGGGAAGUACGGUCGCAAGACUAAAACUCAAAGAAAUUGACGGGGACCCGCACAAGCGGUGGAGUAUGUGGCUUAAUUCGAUGCAACGCGAAGAACCUUACCUAGGCUUGACAUGGAUUUCUAAGCACGUGAAAGCGUGUGACCCUUCGGGGAACUUCCACAGGUGCUGCAUGGCCGUCG
rnacentral:rRNA from 1 species